UAGGGAAUCUUCGGCAAUGGGGGCAACCCUGACCGAGCAACGCCGCGUGAGUGAAGAAGGUUUUCGGAUCGUAAAGCUCUGUUGUAAGAGAAGAACGUGUGUGAGAGUGGAAAGUUCACACAGUGACGGUAACUUACCAGAAAGGGACGGCUAAACUACGUGCCAA
rnacentral:rRNA from 1 species